UGGUAAUAUCCAUAUGCAGUUUUCUUUGAAUAACCCAUAUGUUACUACCAGUCCAAUUUGAGCUUAAAAUUAAUAAAAUAGUAUUUGAACUAAAUCUUUAUAUGUUUUUUAUUGCUUAAAAUAGAUCAUAGAAUGAAAUUAAGUAAUGCUCAAGUCAAUAUAGCAAGUUUGGUUCUGUUAUAGGUGUAACACCACUAAUUCAGGCCCGGCCAGAAAGCACAUACCAGAAAGUAGUACAUAUUUAACACAAAAUAGUUCCUACGCAUGGACAUAACUUUCAAAAUAUUUAGAAUAUUUUAUUAAUUUUGGUAUCAAAUGAAAGCUGCAUGACUGGUGAUCAUUGCAGAACAAUUUUUGACUGAUAAAUUUGAAUAAUAAAAAAAAUGGCAUGAAAUUUAAAAAGGAGGGUACAUUUUGCC
rnacentral:lncRNA from 1 species